AACUAAUUAUAUAUACACUUAUAUGGUAUGUUCUGCAUAUCUAUAGCUUGUCAUUUUUUGGAAAAAUAAGUUAACUUGUAUGAACAAUUUACUGGCAUUGUUGUGCAAAUACUGUUGCUCAUUACUCAAACACUCAAUAUAAGUAUUAUAUUCAAUACUCAUGGCAUUCAUAUUUGGUCCAAAUUAAAUGAUACAUGAUGGCAUUGCACUAUUACUUACAGAGACCAUAAAAAGAUAAAAAGUCUUCAAAGCCCAUAUCCCUAUGUUAUUAGACCUAAUGACCUACAUAUACAUCUGCAUUGAAGAAUCAAAAUAGGUUCAAGGUGAGCAAUUCUCUUACAAAUUAAAAAUUCUUUGCGUAAUGCUAAUGAUAUUUAACUUUUGAAUUUUAAACACAGGUAAAAGUAUGUGUUGUGUACAAUGCAAGGUCCUACAUAUGUGACGGCAACUUCUUUCAAGAAUGGUGGGGGAAAUGAUAUACAGCAAAUUUAAAGGAGGUUUACCAGCAGGUCAUUUGUACUGUGGGAACUGUGGAGGUAAAAGUGAAGCAGGGACCCAAUUCAGGGGCCAGGAUGGAUGUUAAUAUCAUCCAAGAAUUUCGAGACAUGUGCAACUUGAUGAAGACUUUACAAAACAAAAAUUGCUUAAUUAACACAUACUUUAACUUACAACCUCCUGUCAGACAUUUCUGCAAGGAAUCAAUUGUACCAUACACCAAAGGCUUAUAGUGAUUUUGACAUUUUUUAAGUUUAUGGUAUUUUUUAUGAAUCAUAACAAAUGGAUUCAGAAUCUCCUUGUUAGAGAUUAUGUUGAUUAUUCAGUUUGAAUGAGGGGACACAU